GAUGAAGAACGCAGCGAAAUGCGAUAAGUAAUGUGAAUUGCAGAAUUCAGUGAAUCAUCGAAUCUUUGAACGCACAUUGCGCCCCCUGGUAUUCCGGGGGGCAUGCCUGUCCCAGCGUCAUUACAACCCUCAAGCUCAGCUUGGUGUUGGGCCCCGCCGCCCCGGCGGGCCCUAAAGUCAGUGGCGGUGCCGUCCGGCUCCGAGCGUAGUAAUUCUUCUCGCUCUGGAGGUCCGGUCGUGUGCUCGCCAGCAACCCCCAAUUUUUUUCAGGUUGACCUCGGAUCAGGUAGGGAUACCCGCUGAACUUAAGCAUAUCAAUAAGCGGAGGA
rnacentral:misc_RNA from 1 species